rnacentral:pre_miRNA from 1 species
ACAACAUUCGGACCGUCGUCGGUCUAACGAGCAAUAUCACCCGCUCGGUGGAAGAUCUUCCCUUUGUCGU